rnacentral:tRNA from 1 species
GCCCUUGUAGCUCAGCAUGGAUUAGAGCACAAGAUUCCUAAUCUUGGUGUCGUAGGUUCAAAUCCUACCAAGGGCG